CACAGACUGGGCUGCACUCCUUUGUUCUAGCUGUCAGCUGAGAAUCUUUUCUCAGAGUCUUUAUGAAAGCACCAGCAACCUUACUUGUGUCCUUGGAGCUCGAUGGCUGUUCCUUUUCUCCCACCGAUGUCCCACAUGAUGACAGAGUGAUCUGAACUGCCUGAGAACAACACCCGCUGGACUGGGUCCCAACAGAGAGCGGUCACCCCACCUGAGAGGACAGACACAACCAGACAUCAGUCACAAGGUCAUUUAUAUUUGAAGCUUCAGAUCUUCGGUCAAAACAAUCAAAGAAUUUGAAGUUAUUCAUAAAUUGAUAAUUCAAUUUAUGAACCAGUCUCUUUGUCUUCCUUUACUUUUCUACUUGAAUUUUGGUUAUUUUCAUUGCAUAUUUACUUCUCCACUAAGACGCCUGAAAGAAGAGGAAUAAAGGCUGAAUUCAAUCUGAUUUAGUCUGUCACUUGUUGCCUUGGCUGAAUGACUGUUUGAGGUGGAGAUAGAAGAGAAUGAGUUCAUCUGUGGAGGUCUCUUAUCUACCAUUAGCUGUCUACUAUGAAGAUAAAUAGGGUUAAUGAUAUUAUUCAUAAUCUUUUAUGUUGAUUCAUAAAAUCUUCCUC
rnacentral:lncRNA from 1 species